GAUCCGCUGGCCUAGUGGUUAGAGCGUCCGCCUAUGAUGCCGAAGGUCGUAGGUUCGAUACCUGGUCUAGUCA